rnacentral:rRNA from 1 species
UACGUAGGCAGCAAGCGUUGUUCGGAGUUACUGGGCGUAAAGAGUACGUAGGCGGUUUGCUAAGUCUGGUGUGAAAUCUCCUGGCUUAACUGGGAGGGUGCGCUAGAUACUGGCAGGCUUGAGUAUGGGAGAGGAGAGUGGAAUUCCUGGUGUAGCGGUGAAAUGCGUAGAUAUCAGGAGGAACGCCGGUGGUGUAGACGGCUCUCUGGACCAUAACUGACGCUGAGGUACGAAAGCGUGGGUAGCAAACAGG